rnacentral:rRNA from 1 species
UACGUAGGGUGCGAGCGUUAAUCGGAAUUACUGGGCGUAAAGCGUGCGCAGGCGGUUCGUUGUGUCUGAUGUGAAAGCCCCGGGCUCAACUUGGGAACGGCAUUGGAAACUGGCGAGCUAGAGUGUGGCAGAGGGGGGUGGAAUUCCACGUGUAGCAGUGAAAUGCGUAGAGAUGUGGAGGAAUACCGAUGGCGAAGGCAGCCCCCUGGGAUAACACUGACGCUCAUGCACGAAAGCGUGGGGAGCAAACAGG